GUAGGGAAGGAUAUUAAGAUUUAAGAAUGAUAAAAAAGAUUUUUUUCUAAUAUCUAUGGUAGCUAUAAUCAUAUCACAAAAUUUAAAUAGAUUAAUUAAUAAGGUUCACGUGGCCUGCUUGACGACCGUCAACGAUGGGAACAUAGCAAAUUGGUCCAUAAACAUUGUCUGAACAAGUGCUGUGAUAACCUUUAUGAUCAAAUCUGAACGAUUGUUGACCUCCGAUUCCGUCCUACUACAAGUGCUGUAAUAACCUUUAUGGAUCAAGUUUGAACGAUUGUCGACCACCGAAUUUACUGAUCUGCAAUAUUCAUCUUGACCCACAAGCACAAAUACUGAGCGCGAUAUAUAAUUACACACGCAAGUGCACCACAAGCACAAAUCCUCCUUCUUCCUCUUUUUCUUGGGAGACAUGAUGCAUGACUAAUCGAUGCAUGCCAGUUCAUGCUAAAUAAAUUUGUAGUACAUGUACCACAAU
rnacentral:lncRNA from 1 species